AUGUAUGCCUGCUCCAAGUUCUUCUCUACCCACUCCCUGAUCAGGAGCACCUCUCAGCUGCCGAGUCACUGCUGAGUCGUCUGCAGUGGAGCUGAAGCGACCACAGAUGUCAACAGAUGAGAGUCUCAGCCGCUUGGUGGUCACACGGCCUCUGACCUCACUUAUCCCUAGCCACAGCUUCCAAAUCAACGCCAUUUCAAGGGGCAUCCACACAGCCGCCAAGUUCAUUGGGGCUGGGGCUGUUAUAGUUGGGGUGGCUGGCUCUGGGGUUGGGAUUGGGACUGUUUGGGGGGAUCCUCGUCAUUGUCUAUGCCAGGAAGCCUUCUCUGAAGCAACAACUCUUCUAUGCGAUUCUGGGCUCUGCCCUCUCAGAGGCCGUGGGGCUCUUUGCCUAAUGGUGGCCUUUCUCAUCCUCUGCGCCAUAUGA
rnacentral:lncRNA from 1 species